UCCUUCACAUAUAUAUACAAUGAAAAAGUAACAAAGAAAGGAAAAAAAAAGGCAAGAAAUCCUUUUUGUUUUGUUUCGUGUUUUUUACAAUGCUUGCAUGGCAAGUUUCAAUUUUGUUU
rnacentral:ribozyme from 14 species